ensembl:rRNA 5S_rRNA 5S ribosomal RNA
GUCAGCAGCCAUAUCACUCUGCAACUCACAACUGGCAGCCCACUGAAGCUAAGCAGGUGUGAGCCUGGUCAGUACCUGGAUGGGAGACCUCCUGGGAAAAAAAGGUUGCUGCUGGAA